GGGGAUAUAGCUCAGACAGUAGAGUACUUGCUUCGCAUGCACACACAAGGCCCUGGGUUCAAUCCCCAGCACCACCA
rnacentral:tRNA from 1 species